rnacentral:lncRNA from 1 species
UAUUAUUAACAAAUCAAAAAGAAAAAGCUAUCAUUUUUCUCUUCUCCUUCACCGAAAUAUGCAGCAAAGAAAGGGCUUUGAAGCUGGAAAAUUUCAGCAACAUAUUUCCCUUGCUUGUAAGUGAUUUUAAUGUCUUUGCUUGAUGAUUUUUACAUUUUUGGAACCCCUAAAGCAUGAGCUUUCAUGUGAGGGGUCUAUUUUGCAAAAUGAUGAAGAGUCUAGGGUUUUGCCAUGAGAGUAAAUGUGUUGUUUUCUGUGUUUUUAUGGAAGAUUAUGAGUCCUAGUUGUCUAAUAAACAACUUUUGUGAAAGAAAUUGCAUGAAAACACCUUAAAAAAGGCUAGAUUGCUAAGUUGUAAAAUGAGUUGUAAAUGUGUGAAAUAGUUGAAAUUAUGAGUUGCUAUAGUUAUGAAAAUGGUUCAUCUAGACUCAAGGAGUAAAGGAAUGUGAUAAAAAUUAUUUUACGAGCCUAGGGGUAAUUUGGUAAUUUUGGCAAAAUAUAGGAGCAAAACUGUAAAAAUUGCCCAAGUGUGUCAAUGGACUAAUUUGAUCAGUACAUUGUUUUAAUAAGUUGAAUGUGAUAUUUUAGAUGAUGAAAAUCGAGAUUUGGACCUAGAACGGAAAGAAAUCGAUUAAGGGAUAAUUACGUCUUUUUUUUCACCUUUGUGGUAUCGAGGUAAGUUCAUGUGUAAAUAAUGUAGCAUAAUUGUUAUUUUUAAGUUAUUGAUGUUAAAUAUAUGAUAUGCUGGUUUCUAUCAUGAAAUAUAUGCUUUGUGGUUAUUUUCGAAUAAAAUGCAAGUUAUGUGUAUUAUCUGUUAAAUAUAAAGUGCUACCGAGUAUUGGUUUCGGUAUUUUACGGAAGAUGGCAAGGAGAUGUGUUCGAGGAAAAUCCCGUUUGAACCUUAGGAAUAGAUUAGGAUACAAGUGACAUGUCACUAGGAUGGUUGAGCAUCCGAACUCGUUGAGUUGAGUCCGAGUUCACUUAUGGAUGCGAAUGUUCGAACUCGUUGAGUUGAGUCCGAGUUCGUGAGAUGUAACUAGGCAUCCGAGCUCGUUGAGUUGAGUCCGAGUUCACUUAUGGAUGCGAACGCCCGAGCUCAUUGAGUUGAGUCCGAGUUCACUUAUGGGCGGGUUACAUGGUAGCUUGGCUACAUAUGUGGCACUUAUGUGCAAACUUUCCAUGUAUCCGAAUUAUAUUCCGAUGUGUUCAACGGGUAAAAUUCUACUCAAAUGGAGGAAUACUCGAGAUGAAAGGGACGUAUUGGUAAAUGUUGUGAAAUGGAUACUUUGAACAGGUAUGUACUUAACCCUCGGGUUGAAAACUUGACAUAACAACAAUAUGGUAAGAUGAUAAAUGAAAAUGUGAUAUGAAUGUCUCGGUGAUGAUUAUACAAACGAUGUUGUAUUAAUUUUGUGAACAAUGAUCGUGAAUGAGUAAUUUAGCCUUGACAGAUUUGAGUUACUGCAGUAGUGUAACUUUGAAAAUACACUAAAAAUAGUGAAAAAUGAGUUAGAGGCAGAAUAAAAUAUGGGAUUAAAGCUUAAUGAGUCUAUUUUCACAUGAAAGAAACAGGGGAAGAAAAAGAAUUCCAUAUUGUGUGAUAUUUGAAUUCUUGUGAAACAGGGUCUGAAUGAAUUCGAGAUCCCCUGUUCUGACUUUAGAAAUUCACCAAAAAUUGUAAAAAAAUUAUUAAGAGUCAUACCUUACAUUCAUGGAUUCCUUAUUGAGUCUAUUUUUAGGGGAAAUAAACUCCAUGGUCGUUGGAAUUUGUACAGGGAGAAAUUCGGUUUGUAGUGCACAGGGGUCAGAGUGGUCAUACCCUGAAAUAGGGGAGACUUUAACUAAUAAACUGUACUAAUUGGCCCAACCAAAAAUUCUAGAAAAAAAUUAGUAAGUAGAAAUAUGAGUCUAGUUUCAAGAGAAAUAGACAAGAACAUUAUUCGAGUCUUGUACUAUGAGAUAAUUGAAUUUUAGUAUAGAAGGGUCGGAACUGUCAGACAGUGAAUCAGGGGUAAAUUUGAGGAAUAAACUGUACUAUUUGGCUUAACCAAAAAUUCUGAAAAUUUUAUGGAAGAAAUGAAAAUAAGUCUAGUUUCAGGGAAAAUUAACAGAACUUAAUUCGGAGUUUCGUAGCUCCAGAUAUAAAUAAUUUAGUGACCGUUGCUCAGAAAGACAACUUGUAGUGAACUUGAGAAUAUGUUGUAAACAUUGAUAAAAUAAGUUAAUGGGUGCUUAUUGUUUUCAUAUGAACUUACUAAGCGAAAGCUUACCCCCCUCUUCUUUCCCAUGUUUUCUAGGGUUUCCAGGUUAGCUCUGGCUGGAGACCGUCAGAGAUAUUAUCACACUGUCAAGCUAACGCUAUUGGUGUAGUGAUUUCAAGUACUUUGAGCCUAUGGCAUGUAUAGGAGUUUAAAUAUUAGAGUAUGUGAUAUGGCUUUAACCAUAUGUGUUGGCCUAUUUUGAUUAUGGGGUUGUAAAUCUAUUUUAAUUAUGCAUGCAUGUGCUAUGGUAUUAUGUGAUGAGUUUAUAAUGAUUAUAGUAUGAAUGUGGUAAAGAUGUGAGUAAAAUCCAUGAUAUCUAUUGCAUGUGAAAUUGCCAUAAUCAUGACAUGUUAGGAAUGUUUAAGUACCUAAUUUUGCCAUGUUGUAUGUUAUUGUAUAAGUAUGCGUGUAUCUAUUGUGAGUGUGACAAAAUGACUUGGAAAAUAGCCUUGUAUUUGUCCAG